CCUACGGGAGGCAGCAGUGAGGAAUAUUGGUCAAUGGACGAGAGUCUGAACCAGCCAAGUAGCGUGAAGGAUGACUGCCCUAUGGGUUGUAAACUUCUUUUAUAUGGGAAUAAAAUGUUCCACGUGUGGGAUUUUGUAUGUACCAUAUGAAUAAGGAUCGGCUAACUCCGUGCCAGCAGCCGCGGUAAUACGGAGGAUCCGAGCGUUAUCCGGAUUUAUUGGGUUUAAAGGGAGCGUAGGUGGAUUGUUAAGUCAGUUGUGAAAGUUUGCGACUCAACCGUAAAAUUGCAGUUGAAACUGGCAGUCUUGAGUACAGUAGAGGUGGGCGGAAUUCGUGGUGUAGCGGUGAAAUGCUUAGAUAUCACGAAGAACUCCGAUUGCGAAGGCAGUUCACUGGACUGCAACUGACACUGAGGCUCGAAAGUGUGGGUAUCAAACAGGAUUAGAUACCCGUGUAGUC
rnacentral:rRNA from 1 species